rnacentral:rRNA from 1 species
GACGAACGCUGGCGGCGUGCUUAACACAUGCAAGUCGAACGGAAAGGCCCUGCUUUUGUGGGGUGCUCGAGUGGCGAACGGGUGAGUAACACGUGAGUAACCUGCCCUUGACUUUGGGAUAACUUCAGGAAACUGGGGCUAAUACCGGAUAGGAGCUCCUGCUGCAUGGUGGGGGUUGGAAAGUUUCGGCGGUUGGGGAUGGACUCGCGGCUUAUCAGCUUGUUGGUGGGGUAGUGGCUUACCAAGGCUUUGACGGGUAGCCGGCCUGAGAGGGCGACCGGCCACAUUGGGACUGAGAUACGGCCCAGACUCCUACGGGAGGCAGCAGUGGGGAAUAUUGCACAAUGGGCGGAAGCCUGAUGCAGCAACGCCGCGUGCGGGAUGACGGCCUUCGGGUUGUAAACCGCUUUCGCCUGUGACGAAGCGUGAGUGACGGUAAUGGGUAAAGAAGCACCGGCUAACUACGUGCCAGCAGCCGCGGUGAUACGUAGGGUGCGAGCGUUGUCCGGAUUUAUUGGGCGUAAAGGGCUCGUAGGUGGUUGAUCGCGUCGGAAGUGUAAUCUUGGGGCUUAACCCUGAGCGUGCUUUCGAUACGGGUUGACUUGAGGAAGGUAGGGGAGAAUGGAAUUCCUGGUGGAGCGGUGGAAUGCGCAGAUAUCAGGAGGAACACCAGUGGCGAAGGCGGUUCUCUGGGCCUUUCCUGACGCUGAGGAGCGAAAGCGUGGGGAGCGAACAGGCUUAGAUACCCUGGUAGUCCACGCUGUAAACGGUGGGUACUAGGUGUGGGGUCCAUUCCACGGGUUCCGUGCCGUAGCUAACGCUUUAAGUACCCCGCCUGGGGAGUACGGCCGCAAGGCUAAAACUCAAAGGAAUUGACGGGGCCCCGCACAAGCGGCGGAGCAUGCGGAUUAAUUCGAUGCAACGCGUAGAACCUUACCUGGGUUUGACAUGGAUCGGGAGCGCUCAGAGAUGGGUGUGCCUCUUUUGGGGUCGGUUCACAGGUGGUGCAUGGCUGUCGUCAGCUCGUGUCGUGAGAUGUUGGGUUAAGUCCCGCAACGAGCGCAACCCUUGUUCACUGUUGCCAGCACGUUAUGGUGGGGACUCAGUGGAGACCGCCGGGGUCAACUCGGAGGAAGGUGGGGAUGACGUCAAGUCAUCAUGCCCCUUAUGUCCAGGGCUUCACGCAUGCUACAAUGGCUGGUACAGAGAGUGGCGAGCCUGUGAGGGUGAGCGAAUCUCGGAAAGCCGGUCUCAGUUCGGAUUGGGGUCUGCAACUCGACCUCAUGAAGUCGGAGUCGCUAGUAAUCGCAGGUCAGCAACGCUGCGGUGAAUACGUUCCCGGG